rnacentral:rRNA from 1 species
UUUUCCACCGGAGCUUGCUCCACCGGAAAAAGAGGAGUAGGCGAACGGGUGAGUAACACGUGGGUAACCUGCCCAUCAGAAGGGGAUAACACUUGGAAACAGGUGCUAAUACCGUAUAACAAUCGAAACCGCAUGGUUUUGAUUUGAAAGGCGCUUUCGGGUGUCGCUGAUGGAUGGACCCGCGGUGCAUUAGCUAGUUGGUGAGGUAACGGCUCACCAAGGCCACGAUGCAUAGCCGACCUGAGAGGGUGAUCGGCCACAUUGGGACUGAGACACGGCCCAAACUCCUACGGGAGGCAGCAGUAGGGAAUCUUCGGCAAUGGACGAAAGUCUGACCGAGCAACGCCGCGUGAGUGAAGAAGGUUUUCGGAUCGUAAAACUCUGUUGUUAGAGAAGAACAAGGAUGAGAGUAACUGUUCAUCCCUUGACGGUAUCUAACCAGAAAGCCACGGCUAACUACGUGCCAGCAGCCGCGGUAAUACGUAGGUGGCAAGCGUUGUCCGGAUUUAUUGGGCGUAAAGCGAGCGCAGGCGGUUUCUUAAGUCUGAUGUGAAAGCCCCCGGCUCAACCGGGGAGGGUCAUUGGAAACUGGGAGACUUGAGUGCAGAAGAGGAGAGUGGAAUUCCAUGUGUAGCGGUGAAAUGCGUAGAUAUAUGGAGGAACACCAGUGGCGAAGGCGGCUCUCUGGUCUGUAACUGACGCUGAGGCUCGAAAGCGUGGGGAGCAAACAGGAUUAGAUACCCUGGUAGUCCACGCCGUAAACGAUGAGUGCUAAGUGUUGGGAGGGUUUCCGCCCUUCAGUGCUGCAGCUAACGCAU